rnacentral:rRNA from 1 species
UACGUAGGGGGCAAGCGUUAUCCGGAUUCACUGGGUGUAAAGGGAGCGUAGACGGCCAUGCAAGCCUGGAGUGAAAGCCCGGGGCCCAACCCCGGGACUGCUCUGGGAACUGUGCGGCUGGAGUGCGGGAGGGGCAGGCGGAAUUCCUGGUGUAGCGGUGAAAUGCGUAGAUAUCAGGAGGAACACCGGCGGCGAAGGCGGCCUGCUGGACCGCGACUGACGCUGAGGCUCGAAAGCGUGGGGAGCAAACAGG